CCUACGGGGGGCAGCAGUGGGGAAUAUUGGACAAUGGGCGAAAGCCUGAUCCAGCCAUGCCGCGUGUGUGAAGAAGGCCUUCGGGUUGUAAAGCACUUUCAGUGGGGAAGAAAGCCUUGGGGCUAAUACCCUCGAGGAAGGACAUCACCCACAGAAGAAGCACCGGCUAACUCCGUGCCAGCAGCCGCGGUAAUACGGAGGGUGCGAGCGUUAAUCGGAAUUACUGGGCGUAAAGCGCGCGUAGGCGGUCUGAUAAGCCGGUUGUGAAAGCCCCGGGCUCAACCUGGGAACGGCAUCCGGAACUGUCAGGCUAGAGUGCAGGCGAGGAAGGUAGAAUUCCCGGUGUAGCGGUGAAAUGCGUAGAGAUCGGGAGGAAUACCAGUGGCGAAGGCGGCCUUCUGGACUGACACUGACGCUGAGGUGCGAAAGCGUGGGUAGCAAACAGGAUUAGAUACCCUAGUAGUC
rnacentral:rRNA from 1 species